AGAAAUAAACUUUGAUUGAUUGAUUGAUUGAUGGAUGGGGACUAGAUUGCCCUACAGAGGCUAAAGACUGUUUACAGGACGAGACUGUCCUCCUUGAAAAAACGACCACAUAGGUCGUUUGUACACGCCCCUCAUUACGACUGAGUGUUACGUUUUGAAGUUAAGCGACCUCUAGCGGUUGAGUAAAUAUCGACACUCCGGUGUCUCAGCUGAAACGUCACCAUGAACACGUCACACGUAACUUUGACCUUCUUCACCCAUCAAAAAACGGCUACUCAGAGGCAACAAACACUGCACUGAUGGCUUCUGACAACUUCAGACAGUGGCUGGAGAUGGGAAAAGCAUUGUCAGAUGAGUUUGCAUCAAAAAAACCAUCAAAGAAUGAUAUGAUUGGUUUCAUGGACAGUUUAUUUAAAACCACACUCGACCUCGCUCAGGAUGAAGACCUUGGAAUUCAGCGGGCUCACCGAGCCCUGGCGCAGAGGCCAACUGAUG